ensembl:lncRNA
CUCUCUCUCUCUCUCUCUCUCUGCAAGUCACUGUUUGUGUGUGUGUGUGUAAAGGCGCUGUGUCGCCUCCUGCUGGUCGGGCUAGAGCAUUGCACACGUGUCUAUCUUGGUAAAUGUACUUUAAUAUACUUUUUAAUCUUGUUAAUUCUCAUAGAUUUCCAUAUAAUUCAUUAAGGAUUAUCAAUUAAACACUAUUUUGAACAUUUAUUAUCUGUUAAAAAAAGAUUAAGUGAUAUAUGAAGAUGUAAUUAUUAUUAUUAUUAUUAUUAUUAUUAUUAUUAUUAUUAUUCACAGGAUCUGUCUAUGAUUAUUGCAGUUUGAUGCUUUAUUGUGGUUAAGUGUAAUUAUUUGCUCAAUUAAUCCCUGCAACACUUGAAUGUAUUCAAAUGUAUGUAUAUUGAAUGUAGGAAAACACAGAUUGUUUCAGAGGAAAGGUUCCGGUAGGUUCUCUACUACAUCCGGUUCUCAGCGGUGAGGUUCUGGAGCUUCAGGGCUGUAGGUGAAUAAACUAUUACUGAAUUGAGAGAACAAAUUCUGAUCUAAAUAAUGAUAAGAAGGAAAAAUACAGUUCCACUACUCACAUUCAGUCGGUGCUUGGCCCCCUAAUAACGACACGGUGGAGCCUCCAGAGAAAAUGGCCAGUGUAAAAGGAUUUACUGAUCUGACCACAUGGCCUCCACAAUUCUCGGUAUUUUGGAACAUUUUAUAUUCAAAUAUCAUUUUAUUUGUCUUUCCCUCUGUGUCUUCAUGAUUUCCUUUAUGGAUUAAUGAUCUCCGUGUGCUAUUUAAAUCAUUAAGAAUAAAAACACAGGAUGACAUAGAACAAAUAAUUGGGCCUGGCAUCCAAUCAGGGUUUACCUCAUUAGCAUAACAGCAAAGACGUCUGGGAACUGGGAUGCUACCAUGGACUCCUUAAGCGGGAGUCUUUUAUCUUUCCAAAGAGACCUGUCUGAGAGAAUGAGGAGGACAGGAGGAAGGUGGAGGAGGGCGAGUGACCAGUGGUAGUGUGGGUGAGAGGUUUUUAUACACGUCUGUACACACCACUGCCUUCAUCGCACCUUCAUACUGCUACAGCACCACUUUAUAUUCUUAAACCUGCCAAAAUACAGAUUAGACCCAGAAGGUUCAGUAACCACAACACUGACACUUACUCUCAUCUAACAUUCCUCAUAUCGGCGUCGGGUCCGGGUUUCUUCUCAUUAGCAUUAUGCACCCGUACCCGUUCCUUCUGCGGCGUGGUGGAUAGAGAGUGCCGGUACGGCGGCUCCUGAUGAUUCAGGUUCUUAUCUGGUUCAAGAAUAAACUGUGCUGUUGUAUUGUGAAGUGUUUCAUGAAGUCCAAAAAACACACACACAUGGUUGCUGUUCUUGCGGUGUAGCGGUCAGUGUUGGUGGUCCAGAAGGUGUGGGUUCUCGUCUGUGUUUUGGUUGGUUCGAGACUAAAAGUUGCUGCGUCUUCUUGAAGUUAUAACAACAGAAGUAUAACACACUAGACCUGGUUUAGUCCUUCUGUGGUGUAGUGGUUAGAGUUUGUGUCACUGUUGGGUUCUUCUAGAAGCUGUUGGUUCGGUUCUGCCUUUUGGCUGAUGUAAAUCUAAAAGUUUCUGUGGCCUCAAGAGGUGAAUUUUUGACGACAAAAGUCCAACACACAGCUUGCACACUGGCCCUCGGUGGUGUAGUGGUUAGUGGGGCAGCGAUUAUGGUGUAGUUUGUGCAGGUUCAAACCCUCUUUUUGGCAGGUUUUAGAAUAAACUGUGCUGUUGCAUUGUGAAGUUCAAAAAACACACAGUCGCACACAGGUGUUGUCUCUGUUCCUCUUUGGUGUAAUGAAAAUCCAACCAGAGUUAUCAGUUAAUGGGGAUGGGAUGAGUGUGUGGGUUGGGCUAAUGGGAGUGUAGGCUGGGCUAAGGGGAUGGGAAGAGUGUGUAGGCUGGGAUGGGAAGAGUGUGUCGGCUGGGCUGAGGGGAUGGGAGGAGUGUGUCGGCUGGGCUGAGGGGAUGGGAGGGUUGUGUCGGCUGGGCUGAGGGGAUGGGAGGAGUGUGUCGGCUGGGCUGAGGGGAUGGGAGGAGUGUGUCGGCUGGGCUGAGGGGAUGGGAGGAGUGUGUCGGCUGGGCUGAGGGGAUGGGAGGAGUGUGUCGGCUGGGCUGAGGGGAUGGGAGGAGUGUGUCGGCUGGGC